rnacentral:rRNA from 1 species
UUAAAUCAGUUAUCGUCUAUUUGAUAGUACCUUACUACUUGGAUAACCGUGGUAAUUCUAGAGCUAAUACAUGCUGCAAAGCCCGACUUCGGAAGGGUUGUAUUUAUUAGAUUAAAAACCAAUGCCCUCCGGGGCUCACUGGUGAUUCAUGAUAACUUCUCGAAUCGCACGGCCUUGCGCCGGCGAUGGUUCAUUCAAAUUUCUGCCCUAUCAACUUUCGACGGCUGGGUCUUGGCCAGCCGUGGUGACAACGGGUAACGGAGGGUUAGGGCUCGACCCCGGAGAAGGAGCCUGAGAAACGGCUACUACAUCCAAGGAAGGCAGCAGGCGCGCAAAUUACCCAAUCCCGACACGGGGAGGUAGUGACAAUAAAUACUGAUACAGGGCUCUUUUGGGUCUUGUAAUUGGAAUGAGUACAAUUUAAUUCCCUUAACGAGGAACAAUUGGAGGGCAAGUCUGGUGCCAGCAGCCGCGGUAAUUCCAGCUCCAAUAGCGUAUAUUAAAGUUGUUGCAGUUAAAAAGCUCGUAGUUGAACCUUGGGCCUGGCUGGCCGGUCCGCCUCACCGCGUGCACUGGUCCGGCCGGGCCUUUCCCUCUGGGGAGCCGCAUGCCCUUCACUGGGCGUGCCGGGGAACCAGGACGUUUACUUUGAAAAAAUUAGAGUGUUCAAAGCAGGCUUAUGCUCGGAUACAUUAGCAUGGAAUAAUAGAAUAGGACGCGUGGUUCUAUUUUGUUGGUUUCUAGGACCGCCGUAAUGAUUAAUAGGGACAGUCGGGGGCAUCAGUAUUCAGCUGUCAGAGGUGAAAUUCUUGGAUUUGCUGAAGACUAACUACUGCGAAAGCAUUUGCCAAGGAUGUUUUCAUUAAUCAGGAACGAAAGUUAGGGGAUCGAAGACGAUCAGAUACCGUCGUAGUCUUAACCAUAAACUAUGCCGACUAGGGAUCGGACGGUGUUAUUCUUUGACCCGUUCGGCACCUUACACGAAAGUACAAGU